GAGUUUGAUCGUGGCUCAGGACGAACGCUGGCGGCGUGCUUAACACAUGCAAGUCGAACGGUAAGGCUCCAGCUUGCUGGGGUACACGAGUGGCGAACGGGUGAGUAACACGUGGGUGACCUGCCCUGCACUUCGGGAUAAGCCUGGGAAACUGGGUCUAAUACCGGAUAGGACCGCACCGUGAGGGUGUGGUGGAAAGUUUUUCGUUGUGGAGUGGCCGGCCGG
rnacentral:rRNA from 1 species